rnacentral:tRNA from 1 species
CAGAAAUUAGUUUAUAGAAAAUUAUUCAUUUACAUUGAAUAGAGUUUUAGUGCGAUUCUUGAAUUUCUGA